rnacentral:rRNA from 1 species
UGUGUGUUCCAGGUAAAUCCGGUUCACUUUAACACUGAGGCGUGAUGACGAGGCACUACGGUGCUGAAGCAACAAAUGCCCUGCUUCCAGGAAAAGCCUCUAAGCAUCAGGUAACAUCAAAUCGUACCCCAAACCGACACAGGUGGUCAGGUAGAGAAUACCAAGGCGCUUGAGAGAACUCGGGUGAAGGAACUAGGCAAAAUGGUGCCGUAACUUCGGGAGAAGGCACGCUGACACGUAGGUGAAGUGAUUUACUCAUGGAGCUGAAGUCAGUCGAAGAUACCAGCUGGCUGCAACUGUUUAUUAAAAACACAGCACUGUGCAAACACGAAAGUGGACGUAUACGGUGUGACGCCUGCCCGGUGCCGGAAGGUUAAUUGAUGGGGUCAGCGCAAGCGAAGCUCCUGAUCGAAGCCCCGGUAAACGGCGGCCGUAACUAUAACGGUCCUAAGGUAGCGAAAUUCCUUGUCGGGUAAGUUCCGACCUGCACGAAUGGCGUAAUGAUGGCCAGGCUGUCUCCACCCGAGACUCAGUGAAAUUGAACUCGCUGUGAAGAUGCAGUGUACCCGCGGCAAGACGGAAAGACCCCGUGAACCUUUACUAUAGCUUGACACUGAACAUUGAGCCUUGAUGUGUAGGAUAGGUGGGAGGCUUUGAAGCGUGGACGCCAGUCUGCGUGGAGCCGACCUUGAAAUACCACCCUUUAAUGUUUGAUGUUCUAACGUGGACCCGUAAUCCGGGUUGCGGACAGUGUCUGGUGGGUAGUUUGACUGGGGCGGUCUCCUCCUAAAGAGUAACGGAGGAGCACGAAGGUUGGCUAAUCCUGGUCGGACAUCAGGAGGUUAGUGCAAUGGCAUAAGCCAGCUUGACUGCGAGCGUGACGGCGCGAGCAGGUGCGAAAGCAGGUCAUAGUGAUCCGGUGGUUCUGAAUGGAAGGGCCAUCGCUCAACGGAUAAAAGGUACUCCGGGGAUAACAGGCUGAUACCGCCCAAGAGUUCAUAUCGACGGCGGUGUUUGGCACCUCGAUGUCGGCUCAUCACAUCCUGGGGCUGAAGUAGGUCCCAAGGGUAUGGCUGUUCGCCAUUUAAAGUGGUACGCGAGCUGGGUUUAGAACGUCGUGAGACAGUUCGGUCCCUAUCUGCCGUGGGCGCUGGAGAACUGAGGGGGGCUGCUCCUAGUACGAGAGGACCGGAGUGGACGCAUCACUGGUGUUCGGGUUGUCAUGCCAAUGGCACUGCCCGGUAGCUAAAUGCGGAAGAGAUAAGUGCUGAAAGCAUCUAAGCACGAAACUUGCCCCGAGAUGAGUUCUCCCUGAGACUUAGAGUCUCCUGAAGGAACGUUGAAGACGACGA